CACAAAUACAAUAUGAAGGCUUCGGCUGGAUUAUUUAUUUCACCCUUGUCUUUUGCGCACUUGUUGUUUCCUGGGCGGGUUCGCCCGCCACCAGGACCACACCAUAAACCUUUUUUGUUUAAUGCAUUCAGCGUCAGUAUAACAAAUGUAAAUCAUUUA
rnacentral:misc_RNA from 1 species